rnacentral:misc_RNA from 1 species
GAAAAAAUCUCAUGAAGAUACCUCUCUUGAAGCAAAGGUUGAUUUCUUACUAGAUCAUGUCAAAUGGGACGACAAAGGCCUUGCAGUUGCUAUAGCCCAAAAUGUUGAUACGGGAGCAGUCUUAAUGCAAGGCUUUGCAAACAGAGAGGCUUUGUCAACAACAAUCUCAUCACGUAAAGCAACAUUUUAUAGCCGGUCACGGUCAUCUUUAUGGACAAAGGGAGAGACCUCCAAUAAUUUUAUCAAUGUUUUCGAUGUCUUUCUUGAUUGUGAUCGUGAUUCUAUUAUAUAUCUUGGGAAGCCUGAUGGCCCAACAUGUCACACGGGGUCAGAGACAUGUUAUUACACGCCAGUUGAUGAACUCCUGAAACAUCCAGAGGUUGAGAAAAACGAGCUGGCUUUGACGACUUUAUACGCAUUAGAAUCUACAAUCAACCAAAGGAAGGCAGAAACAUCUAGCUCUUCAAAUGGAAAACCCUCAUGGACGAAGCGAUUGUUGCUUGAUGACAAAUUGCUUUGCUCCAAAAUUCGAGAAGAAGCUAACGAGUUAUGCCAAACUUUGGAGCAAAACGAGGCUAAUGGACGGACUGCCUCAGAGAUGGCAGAUGUCUUGUAUCAUGCCAUGGUUUUGCUUUCUCUUAGAGGAGUAAAACUAGAGGAAGUUAUGCAGGUCCUUAGACAAAGGUUUUCAAAGUCAGGCAUUGAAGAAAAGAAUAGUCGGAAAUCCUAGGACACAUAUGGGUAUACAGUUGAAGAAGGCUUCAUUACAGUCUACGAUUGUUCUUCGUUUUCUACGAGAGAGGGGGGGAGGGGGAAUACUCUAGCUCCCUAAUGCUGUUAAAAGUGUAUGUGUUUGUGUGGGAG